CUUCCGAGAUCACAUUCCUUUUUCAGUGGGUCAGUCUUUAUCGUAGGAGAUGAAACUUUUUUGAAUGCUUUCUCAAGCUCUUCCCUAACUUGCUUUCGAAAAGCCAGCGCCCAAUAGAGCUUAGCCAUGUGUAGGCCGAAAUGGUCUCGCGAAGCCGGUCACCGUCUAAUCACUUGAGAUGCUGGGGGAACAUUGUUCACCGGGAUAGAAGGCUGGUCCCAACCCGUCUACCAAUGUCAUUUCAUGAAGAUGGACACUGGCUUGGGGGCGGGCGCCUAUCCGACAUAUAAUAGGUACAGCCGGUAUAAUAUAAUAUAUUCUUACUAUGAAGAAUCGUUCCACCCUAUUGUCAGCUCUACGGCUGAGAAAGUAUUCCCCGGUAAUCCGAAGAGUUAGGAAGAAAGUCUUCUUAUUGGGCAAACAAGGUACUCUUAUUUUUAAGAAAUCGAUGCCUUUCUUCUUUUCUUUUGAAAAAGCCGUAUUUUCAGUUCACUUCCCCUUUUCUCUGUUGGUCAACAACCAACCCCCUAGUAGAUAUAGAAAGAACCAUCCCAACAAAGCUAGAGGGUGGACCGAUGAUCCAACCCCAUACCGAGAUUCCUUUUGAUAAGUAUGUUACAAUUUCAUCUUUCGCUCGUUCCCUCAAGAGCUAGAUUUAAGGAAGUAGUUAUGUCAGCAAGCUCGAGGUCUAACCUCAUCCUAAAACUACUUCUCCAAGCCGUAGACGGAAGACCAAGAUUCUGAUAAUGAUACAUCCUUAGCUAUGGGAAGAAGUACGAUGCUUUUAGCCAAUUCUACCUCUUAGCGAGGGCUUGACAGAGUUCUCAUAGGGGAUUCCGGUAUAUCGUAUAAAAGAGAAAGGAUUCAUUUAGGAGCGCUCUUUUCAUCCAACUCGAAAUGUCGUAAGUAACAAUAGCGCAAAAGCCAUAGCACAGCUUAUUCUCUUUUCUUUUGAUUUAUGCUGCAUCAGUCCCAUAGAAUGGCGCUACAAGAUCAACAAUUCCAUAAGCUUGGGCUUCUGUUGCUGACAUAAAAACAUCUCUUUNNNNNNNNNNNNNNNNNNNNNNNNNNNNNNNNNNNNNNNNNNNNNNNNNNNNNNNNNNNNNNNNNNNNNNNNNNNNNNNNNNNNNNNNNNNNNNNNNNNNNNNNNNNNNNNNNNNNNNNNNNNNNNNNNNNNNNNNNNNNNNNNNNNNNNNNNNNNNNNNNNNUAAACCCUUGUGAGGGUUUCACGCAGUUUCAGCAGUUCUUCCGCUUCCAAGACAAAUUCGCCUGUUUGUGCCUCAUAAAAAGAACUAGCAGGUUGAUGUUUUUCCAUUUAAUCACUGACAAAACCUACCUUUCAAUUCGACUUUAUGAUGUCGAUGGCCCGAGGUAGAGCACUCAAUGGGCUAGGGUGGCCUCAUUUCGCCUUACCNNNNNNNNNNNNNNNNNNNNNNNNNNNNNNNNNNNNNNNNNNNNNNNNNNNNNNNNNNNNNNNNNNNNNNNNNNNNNNNNNNNNNNNNNNNNNNNNNNNNNNNNNNNNNNNNNNNNNNNNNNNNNNNNNNNNNNNNNNNNNNNNNNNNNNNNNNNNNNNNNNNNNNNNNNNNNNNNNNNNNNNNNNNNNNNNNNNNNNNNNNNNNNNNNNNNNNNNNNNNNNNNNNNNNNNAGUAUCUAUUUUUUUUCCAUGUUAUAUGAAGAUCUUCAUCGUAUUCUGGGCCGGAGCAAUGAACCUAUUUGAAGUGGCCCAUUUCGUACCAGCACUAGGCCCAAUGUGAGUUGGAUCACUUAGCCACGCUUCAUAAUUAGAAAAACGAGCACCGNNNNNNNNNNNNNNNNNNNNNNNNNNNNNNNNNNNNNNNNNNNNNNNNNNNNNNNNNNNNNNNNNNNNNNNNNNNNNNNNNNNNNNNNNNNNNNNNNNNNNNNNNNNNNNNNNNNNNNNNNNNNNNNNNNNNNNNNNNNNNNNNNNNNNNNNNNNNNNNNNNNNNNNNNNNNNNNNNNNNNNNNNNNNNNNNNNNNNNNNNNNNNNNNNNNNNNNNNNNNNNNNNNNNNNNNNNNNNNNNNNNNNNNNNNNNNNNNNNNNNNNNNNNNNNNNNNNNNNNNNNNNNNNNNNNNNNNNNNNNNNNNNNNNNNNNNNNNNNNNNNNNNNNNNNNNNNNNNNNNNNNNNNNNNNNNNNNNNNNNNNNNNNNNNNNNNNNNNNNNNNNNNNNNNNNNNNNNNNNNNNNNNNNNNNNNNNNNNNNNNNNNNNNNNNNNNNNNNNNNNNAAUUGUCGAAACAAGAACUUUAUGUGAGAGUUGAAGCCCCAAAAGGAGAAUUGGGAAUUUUUCUCAUAGGAGAUCAGAGCGUUUUUCCUUGGAGAUAUUUAGUGUAUUUGAUGCUACAAGUCUUUUGUCCUAAUAGAUGAGAGAUGACGGAAGGUGAGGUGUGACAUGGUUGUGGCAUCUAACGAGGGACCCGUAUGGACAUUGUUGCGUGUGAAGUGUCCAAAGUAUGGGGACGAGGGGGACCAAUUCCUUUUGCCCUGGCAUCACACGUGGCCAGCUUCGUUGGCAUCUCUUGCCAGCUAUACUAAUGGAGUGACUCUAUUGAACUAAAUAUCUUUUUUAAUUGGCGUAAUAUAUUUGGAGAUAUCUAAAGUUGUCACAAUUUUUCACUUAGAUAUUUAAAUUAGGUUUUUUUUUUCCAGACUAAUGGAGUGACAUCGAAAUAAAUGUAAUAAUGCACAAUUCCGUGGGAUUGAUAAUGAACUGUCUCUUUAAUUUUCUUCACUUAAAUAUUACCCCCAUAAGUUUUUAAUUAUGGCAGACACGCACAUAAUCCACAUAUUACAUCUUGCCUCUUUCCACUAGACUACUGUUUGAGCAAAAAAGUGCUAAGUCUUUUAACUAGAUCAAUUAAUAAUAAAUUAAAUGAUAAAUUUUAAUUAAAUUUAAUAAAUUUUUGAUCAAAUAAAAUAAAACACUCGUGAGAUAAGUACUUCUCAAAAAUAUUAAAUAAUUAAUUCAAUACUUUAUGAUUGACAAUAAAUAUGAAAACAUAAAUGUAUAAUAAAUAUAAAUAAUGGCAAUGAGUAUAACAAGAAAGGAUUUAAAAGGAUAUAUCACCGAAUUAUUGUAUGAUUGGCGUGUUCCUUUCUUCUGCCAGACGACGUAGAAAAGAGGGAAAUAAAUAUGAAUGCGGAAUUUUUAGAUUUCGUGAACAAAAUUAAACAACGUGUGCUUGAAUCAUAUAAUCAAUGAACAAGAAACUUUUUGAUAUUCUCUUUUGUCAACCUUUAUCAUGGGUUCUUAUCAAAAAGUUAAGAUCUCCUUUUGUUCACUAUUUCUUCGUAUUUACAAGGAAUAUAUCCCAAAAAUUCUAAAAAGUACAACUUAAAAAAUAUCCAAAUGUCUUUAUGUGUAUCUUUGAACCUAUUUUACUGUUGUUUCUUCAUCUCGGCUAUCCAUUUCUGGCACCAGCCUUUUAAAGAGAAACCUUCAUUCAUCACACCAGAUCAACCAUAUCCUUUGUCUUAUUUAUCUGUUACUGUCGAGUUGCUAAAUUUGGACAUAUACAGUUAGUCCUUCCGCUUGUUGAGGUCGUGGUCCUGCACACCCACGAUAAGUGGACAUGACUUUCCAUUCUUGGACAUCAAAUAAGUCCUUUUUAUGCAAUAUGUAAGACUUCAUAGGCUGCAAAUUUGGACACAUUUUAGGUGUUACAUUGGUCCAACAGUGGCCUGAUUUGGACCUUCUUCGGAGGAUGUUUCUUGGGAUCUAAUCCAUCACUUAUUGGACAUGAAUUUGGGCUAUAAAAUAAUUAUAACAUCUAAAUAACUCAUACUCUUUAUCAUUAAGCUUUUCCGCCCAACUAGCUUCUUUGAUCGUUCUUGAAGUCCAAUGACCUUGUUUUGAAAUUUUUUGGCUUGAGACAUAGUUAAAGCCCCCGUCGAGAUUCCAAAGUUUCGUCAUUUCCUUUGAAUAGAUUUGAGCUUCCUAGGAUGUUCUCAUUCCCCUCUUCUUGAAGAAAUUUCGUCUCCGAAUUUUGUCCUUGCAAGAAAACGAAGACAGGCACUAGUAAAUGACAUCCACUAAUUUGAAUAAAAUAAGAUAGUGACCAUGUGUCCACUUAACCUAAUUAUUUCUGAUAGGGGUAAAUACUCCUUUUAAAGCAUAUGGACAUCAUUAUACUAAUAAAAUUUAUGCCUAUUUAUAUUUGUGCCAUAAAAUCUCUCUUAAGAUAGUCAAAUGAUGUGUAUGAUAUUGAAUUACAAAAGAUUGAUCACUCAUCCAUUUAAAACGAGUAUCUCUACCACAUCUAUCAAAUGAGACACUUUUAUGAUAUAGCCAAGCAUCAAUUAAAAAUCUCAUGGAUUCUUCUACAUAUAAGCUAUUCAAAAAAGCACAUAAAAUCUCAAGAAGGAUAGAAGAACCAUAAUUCUCAAAAUAAAAGUUUCAAAAAUACAUCCAAGCUCAUGAUUAUACCUUUCCCAAAUAAUAUUCUCAAUAUCAAAGCAUUCUAAAUAAUUUCUCCAAUUGUCACAAAAAGAGUCAUAGAUAAGCUCAUGAAAAAGUAUUUGGUCACUAACGUCACAAUAAUCAUGUAGAGCCUCUUUACUAGUAGCAAACACUUUUACAAGUUCACAGUCAACAUGACUUAAAGAAUAACUCUCCAUCACACAACAAAAAUUAUGUUCCAGCAAUUUAUCACACUAAAACUCAUUAGACACUUGAAUAAGAGAAGAAGAAAUAUUUUACUCAUUCACAAGCAUCUUCUCAUAAAAUUCAAGCCUCUUUCCAUCGAGUUGGAAUAUAUAAUGAUAUAUGCCAUACUCAAUUUCAAAAGAAAAUAAUUUAGUCUUGUACUUGAACUUAGCUAUUACAAUUAACGAUUUGAUAUACAUCAAAAUAUCAUCAUUCACCAAAAUUAUAAAGUCACCAACAUAAGAAAUUAGAGUAUAGUUCAUUACCUCUUUAAAUGCCUUAGGUAUCCUAGAAAGGCUAAGAAUUCGAAUAAACAAAUUAUACAUAUCAUGUUUGAAUUUAUUUACCUAUGGAACAUCAUCACCUUGUAUUCUUUUAUGUAAUGGCUCCAACUUAGCAAUGCUUUUAAGAUUUCCAUGUCAUAAACCUGUAAAUAAGGAUCAAAAUAGUCAAAAAGAUUCAACAAUAAAUAAAUUAAUCAAACGUUUAUCUUUCACCAUCCAAUAAGAAUUGAUUUCGCCUAAUUCAUGUUAGAAUCCAAUAGGAUCAUUUGCCACCAUCUCUUGCACCUCACCCAUCCUUUUAGAAGGUCUUUCAACAUGUGGCUGCACAAAAACACAAGGACUCAAGAAAACUUUAAUGGGUUAGGAAGUAAAGAACAUAUUUCUUACUUACACUUUCUUUGGCUUUUAUUUCAAGGCUAAAUUUUUCCUCACCCUUAGCUUCUUUUCUCUCACUAAAGUUUUCUUCUUUUUCGUUACUCAAACCCUCAUGUUUUUAUCUCUCUGCCUUAUAUACUUUUGUUAUCUCAUUGCCUUUCCUCUUUUCUGUUCCCUCAAGCUCACUCUUUUUAUCACUUGAAACCACAUUCUCUUCACUCAACACUACCUCUCCUUUUUUCUUUCUUGGGAUAUCCGUCAACAUGCACUCCCUUACUCCUCUCAUUCUUAUCUCUAUUAUAUUUUUCAUAUUUUCUUUAACAAUAUUUUUAUCUUAGCAAAUUUAUAGGGCGUCAAAGGUCCAAGAAUGAGUUUCUUUUCGUUAAUCUCAAAAGAGUAUCUAUUUUUUUUCCAUGUUAUAUGAAGCUCUUCUAUAGUCAUACCAUGGCUUUCCCAACAAGAUAUGAUAAUUAUUCAUGAGAAUCUCAUCACACCAAAUACAUCGUCAUACAUUUCCAUAGAGAACAGUAAUAACACUCUUUUAUCUAUCUUUACUCCUCCCAACAUGUAGGGUUCAAUAUGCUGAACAUAAGGCAAAUUCAAUUUCUCAACCAUAUAAGUGCUAAUUGAGUUAUAGACAAACUUUUUAUCAAUUCUAAGGGCAUAAAUCGCAGGCAUCACUUUAGCUCUUGUUUGAAAAAUAACUUUACCGUUGUCUUCCUUCCAUUCAGCAUUUUGUAUGUUUGACUUUUUUAAUUGUUAAGUCAUAGUUCGCUCUUUCUUCAUAACUACCUAUUUGAAACAUCUCGAACAAAGAUUAGAAAAAAUAUGUAUAUCUUAAAUUUGGCUUUUUCCUUCUAAGAUUCUCACUUCUCUUGCAUUUUUCCACUCUAAGCAACUCUUGAUCAUUAAUCUUUGGAUUUAUUAAUAAAAUCUUACUAGUCACAAACUUUAGUGAUAAUUUAUGGAGUUUGAAAAAUAAAAGGAAAGUGAUGGACCAAACCUAACAAGAACAAGGAUAAAAAUGAAAGAAUUUAUGAAUCCCAAAACCUAAAAGAAUAAGGAAAGAAGUUACCUUAAACUUCAAAAACUAUGUUCUUAUCUUUUUGUCUCCUUUUUAGACUUGAAAAUCAAAUAAUACUUGAAUUCUAAACAUAACAAUAAGCCAUAACACGUUUGGAGCUAAUUUUUUUUUUUUUGUUUUUUUUUGUUUUGUUUCUCAAGAACCUCCCAAGAUUAUCAAGAUUGAAAUUUUGAUUAGCCAAUGCUCUGAUACCACUUGAUAACAAACAUGAUAGGCUCCAAGAACUACUAAAUAAAAACAAGAAAAUCAAGAAUUGCGCAGAAGCUAAAAGAAAAUAAAGAAACAAAAAAAGAACAGAAAAUUAAAGAUAGAUUGAAUUCAAGAAAGAGUUUCUUGAAUUCAAGAAUUCUAGUCUUGAAGUUGAAUCCUAGCAACAACAAUUAGCUAACGAAUAACUAAUCUCCUUUGAGAGAGAAUUAAAAAUAAGAGAUAAAUUGUGAAACCCGACCCUUUAGAAUAACAAGAACAACAAUAAGCCUAAACUUAUCACCUUUUUUGAAUAUCUAGAAGUUAUCUAAGAUGUCUAAAGAGUUUAAUCUUAUCACUUAAGUUGAAUCUUGAAGGUUGAAGAAUAAAUCCAAGAGUAGCUACUCAAAAGAGUGCAAAAAAAAAUCUCACAAUUUUAUUGAUAAUAUUCUGAAUAAUCUAAGUCUUAAAAAAAAAAAGAAGAAGACACCCCAUUUUUGUAAAGAGGGGCUCAUGAAAUUGUACCUAACAAAUAAUAAAUAAAGUGUUAAACUACUUUGGACAACAAGUCCAACUACCUUAGGAAAAGAAAAAUACUAGAAAGAAAAAAUCAAGUCAUUCUUGAAAAGUAAUUCCAACAAUUUUAGGAAAAAGAAAAUAUAGCCUUAACUAACUAGGAAAAAAUAAAUAUGGUCCCAAAAUAUAUGGAAAUAAGUCCCAAAUCAAUCUUGGAUAGAAUGAUGAAAAUCUUGAAAAUCUUAAAGGAAUUUUGCAAGCAACUUGACACUAACUUGCACCAACAUCUAGCAUGACUAUUGUACCAUUUUUGGAUAUAAAAUAAGUUCUUUUUAUGCCAUAAAAUGUGGCUUUAUGUAGGACUUUAUAGGAUGCAAAUUUGGACACAUUUUAGGUGUUAAAUUGGUCCAACGGUGGGCUGAUUUGGACCUUCUUCAGAGGAUCUUUCUUGGGAUCUAAUCCUUCUCUUAUUGGACAUGAAUUUGAGCCAUAAAAUAAUUAUAACACCUAAAUAAUCAAUAUCCUUUAUCCUUAAACUCUUCCGCCCAAUUAACUUCUUUGAUCGUUCCUGAAGUUCAAUGACCUUGUGUUGUAACUUUUUAGCUUGAGAUCUUGUUAAAGGCCUUCUUCGAGAUUACAAAGCUUCAUCCUUGUCCUUGAAUAGAUUUGAAGUUCCUAGGAUUCUAUCAUAAUAUCCCUUCUCAAGUUUAGAUAGUUCCGGCUGGUGGCGACAUCGUGGAGGUCCAUCGACCUUGGUACUGUGCCUUUUAUGUCUACCCUUUCUUAAUUAGUUAUACUCUCCCUCUUUUCCAUUUGGCAGAGGAAUUUUGCUGUAUUUUACAACGUUUGCCCGGCAUAUCUAUUCCCGUAUUUGUAUAAAUCUUUCCCAAUGCUAACAAAGUAUGCAAAAUUGGCCGGUUGCGAGGUCGGUAUCCGCCACCUAUUACACUUGUUUUCACCAAGUUUUUACAGAGGCAGUGUGAUACACUUGCGAUAUUGCGGGACUAGAGGGCUGAUAGUUGGAAUGAUAACAGGAGGAAUCAUAGGUUUUGGCACAAGUACUUGUUUAUCAAAAUCGAACACUUGGUAUCAGACCCUGCUGGGUUUCCCGAGUAAUGGAGCCAUAAUCGUAGGUGUUAUUGGCAUAAUUUUAUUUUCUUCGUUUCGUCCUUUAAUUUUUCAUUCAUUUGUGGUUUCUUUGUUUUAUUAAACUGAGAGGCGUGCACCCUUCCCUUUCAUCGUCAUUGAAGACUGGAUGGCUCGCGUGUUACCUCACAUGGCAUAUUCAAGAUUGGGCGGUUUUCUACUAAAGUUUUGGGCCGAAGGUCCCGUCUAGUAAGUGUUACUUUUGUUUCGGCCUUCUAUUGUUUACGUUGUUUUUUGAUACAACUGCUUUAUGGUGAAAGCUUGAUGGGCUUCCAAAAAGAAAGCUCCAGUGCGGGUAUAUUCACCAUGCUAUUGUAUCGACAGGGAUGUAAUUUACUUUGGUUGAGUAUGUCCGCAGAGGUCAUAAUCAAGCUCUGUUAGCUAUGGAUUCUCCUCCUCAGAAUGCUACUGUACCGGAUGAGAUCUCUUCCCGACUUAUCUACCACCUUGUAGAUGAGUCGUCUAAUGGAGAGGAGUCGUCAUUGAGAAAAAGGUAAAGAAUGGAACUUAGGAAGACCCUCGCCACUAGUGUUGAAACGAGGAAGGCCAUUGCCUCGAGGGCGGUGUCCGCGCUUUGCCAGAAGCUAGGGGUGUUUUUAUGGUGGAUGCUACUAUAUAGGGAAGGUCCCCUAGCGCCGAGGGGUACAUCAAGGAAGGGAGCCUAUACGGGCUGCUGAAGGUGGCGCGUCAUCGGUGGCCGAGGAGGUGGAGCUCUACUCAGAGAGGAUGAUGCUUCAGGCUCGAACAUCAAUCUUGAAGAGGUCCAGGCCUUUUUGGAGAGAAACACCCGUGUGGAAGUGAGGACAGAGGGUCCUAAUCGACAUAUAAUCAUUCAUGUGGGUUAUGAACUUUUGGCUAACCCUGAACAGGCAGUGUCGUCUUUCGCUCGCUUGUCUGUUGCUUCUGAGAACGCAGCGCUUCAGACGAUGCGUGAUGCAGAGCUAUUGCUGAGUAUUUCUGGCAUGGCUUUGUGGGUAAGUAUUUUUUAAUGUUAGGAUUUGUUUCACCCGUGUAAUCUGCUUAUGCUAACUUCUUUCUUUUGCAUCAGACUCUCACUAUGGGUAUCGAGCGUGACCGGCGGUAUAAGCGGAGGAUGACCUUUUUCAAGAAGAUGUCCUCCAAGUACAAAGAAUACCGAACCAAGAACCGAGCACUGACCGACGUCUUUACCCAAGAUAGCAAUUUUUAGCUAUUUCAUGAUAGGCUCAGACAAAACGAGAAGGAGUUGGUAGGGAACGAUGAGGAGAUGAAAGAGCGGGAUUACGAGCUGAUAAAAGCAAUAGUCAUUGCAACGAAGGCAACUCUUAAGGCCAAGGAGGAUGAGAUCGAGAUGAGCAAGUGGGUGAUGGCUGAGAACGUCAACCUUCAAGUGCGAGUGGAUUCCUUAACUGCUGAGCUUGGUUGGAUAAAAAUGGAGGCCGUUGAUCUAAGAGGCGAGUUGUGCGUUAAGGUAGAGGAAUUGGCUCAUGCCGAAAAGGACAGGAUGGCUGCCAUGUCCGAAGUAGCGGCCUUAGGUGACACUUUCCUAUUUGAUGUUCCGAGCAGGAUAAUGAGUUGGAGAUGUUAGCCCUCAAGGUAGCGAGGUUAGAAGAGCAGAUCUAGGAUCUGUAGGCGGAGUUGUCUAGAUUAAACAAAUAGGUUGUUGCUAUGAAGACUGAGGAAACACAAUGGAUUCAUAGCCGUCUAUGUCUCAAACAUAAGUUGAUCCCGUCAUACCGUGGGAGUUUUAUGAGAUGUGGAUUAAUUACGAGGCUCAACUUGAUGUGUAUUAGUCCCUGAAAAUCGACGGGAAAGUUUUCGAGGUAGAGCUUGAGGGUGUCGGUGUUAAAACCCGUGCAACCCGUGCAACCCAUGAAGCCUGCGAUUAUGACCCCGGUACGCCUGGUGGGGGCGAUGUUGAUGAUAAUGCAGAUAGGCUCGCCUUCAACUCUUGGUAUAAUGAUGAGUACGCCGAAGGGGAUGACGCGUCGUAGGUCCGUUGUACUUAAUUUUGUUUGCCCCUGCUAUUUCUGUGAGGGCGUCUUUAGGCCCUUUGAAAAAAGGUUUUGUAAUAUGACAGUUAUAAUGGAAUGAUUACCUUUUGCUAUGUAUUUCUGUACUGUUGUUGUCUUUUUGUUUGUUAUGCGGUGAAGUUUGACUUAUUUGGGUCGCUUAUAUUUAGUGUUUUGGUGUAUUUGGUCGUAGACCUUAAAGUGACUCGAGUGAGGUCGAAUUGUAAAGUGAUUCGAACGAGGUCGAAUAUAUGGCGAUUCGAAUGAGGUUAAAUGUAAAAUAAUUCCAGCAAGGUCGAAUGCAUGAUAAUUCGAGUGUCCGGGCUAUAUAGAUGCUAUGGAAUGAAUACAAAUGAUAUCGUGCUUUGAAGUCUGAGUAAUACCCAAGGAAUUAAGCCGGGAUCAUAUUCAGGGAUCAAUGGAUGAUAAAGCAAUGAAGCGAAGAAUCGAGUAGGCAUAUUGUGCACUAUCUAUUAAAAUGCACAUAACUUUUUGCUCAACAAUGAGGUCUAACUCAAAGGGCUACAAUUUCAUAUUUUACAUUUUUCCAAAUUCCAAAUAGAACAAGGUGAAAAAUCCAUGAAAUAGUAGACUUGCCAAAUAGUGCGUCUGGGCCGGGACGGUGGAUUUCCAGGCCUGGAAACUUAUCCUUUUUCGCGUAGGAGAAGGUAUAAUUAUUUGGUCCCGACCCUACUUGGUAUAAAUACAUGGAGAAAUUGUAUUUUGAGGGGGUUGGACAUACUUUUGACACAGAUUCGACCUAAGGAGGCAGAGAUACAAUAUGAGCAAGGCGGAGAAUUCUUCUACGCGUUUUUCCUUCCUUUUCCAAUUUUUUCAUUGUUGGUUAUGACUUUUUAGUUUUACAUACUAGUAUGAAUAUCUAAUUUUUUUAGGAUUUUGAUGGAACCUUUUGUAGGAUAAAUUCUUGUUUUGUUUUUAUAUAAUUGAACCGUUGAAUGUCUCUACUUGUUCAACUACGAGUUUAUUAUUGCUGAUUGAAUGGACAUCGAUUGAUUGUGCCUAUUUAUUAUGUAUUGCUUGAGAAAUAAUACAUAUUUAGGUGAUUUUUGAACAACUUCAAUCCUAACGUAUGUGAGAAAUCAAUAUAGCGAGUUUAAAGGUAGGUUUAGAAAUAACAAAGGCUUGACGUGGUCAUAACGAGCAAUUAGAUAAAGCCAACUAGCAUAGUUCAAAAAAAUAUGUCUAGUAAAUUAUUUUAAUUGCUCGAGAGAGAAUUACGAUACCUAAAAAUGCUCAUGAUCAGUAGAGAAUAUAUAGGCGAAAAAUGUAGGGGGAAGGAUUCCAACAUUUCGAGAAAUCAUAACUCUAGACCUUUUUAGUUUUAUCUCAACUUUCAUCAUUGUUAGUUGAUAAUUUUACUGCUUUAUAAUAGUGUUAGCUAAUUAGUUAGAAAUAAAUAUUAUAAUCUCUAUAAUUAAAAAUUAUUUGAACUUGUGAUUCUUAGCAAAUAUUGAACAGCUGCAGCGAAGUAUUAGUUCUCGGUAGGAUUCGAUUUUGGACUUAUAGACCUGUUAGUUUGUAUGAGUCCACCAAAUAGUAGAUUACCUAGUCCUCUAUGAGGUUAUGCUGAGAAUGAUAAUAAAUCUGUAAGUAAAUAAGACAAGGAUUUUUACGUGGAAAUAUCCCAACUCAAGGGGACAAAAAACCAUGACCAAUACCUGUAGGCUUUCAACUUCAUUAACUUGUAAACACCUAUUACGAGCCACUUUGUAAUGACUCAAUUACAAAGAAUUCAACUCAACUAACUUGUGGUACUCUUAACACUAGCCACUUUGUGACUCCCUAAUCACAAAGACUUUAUCUAACUUGUGAUGCUCUCACUACAAGCCACUUUGUCAUUCUAUAGUAACAAAGACUUUUACUUAUGACUAAACCUAGUCACAACAUAAACUCAAAGAGUUUACAGAUUUUACAAAAGGGUUCCCAAUCAAUCCUUCUGUCUAAGAAAUUUAGGAGAUACAAUGAGUACAAUCAUAAAGUUAUAACUCAACUAAGGACAACAAUAUACUGACUUUAGAAACUUGUCCAUUAUAGCGUUCAACUUUUUUCAUCAAGAUCAUGAGAAUUAAUUUCUCUAUUUUUGCAAAAAGGCUUGAAUGAGAAAUUGAAACAUUCAAGUGAUGUUUUGAUAUAAAUUCAUUGUUGAUACACUUUGAUGACAUCACUUGAAAUGAUGUGAGCACAUUAGUUGGUCAAGGAAUAAGUGGGCACUGAAAACCAGUGCGGCAGAAACACUGUAGGUGGUCGCAUUGCUUCUAGCUGUGUCCAAUUGAAUUUGUGUUGCUAUGAGGGAACCACAAGGUAUCAUGUCCUUGUUUGGUUUCUUAUCUCCUGAAGCUAUAGCAGUUCACAUUUAGCUGGAAUCUGUUAACUUGCAGUGUAGUCCAAACGUGUCAGGUUCCUUAUUUGGUCCUUGACCUUAAGUUUGUUAGAUCAUCAAAACAUAAGGCAAAUACAUUGAAAACCUUUUUUUAUGAUGACAAACUUCACAUUUAUAACAUGGAUUUAGAGCAAGUAGAACCAAAUUCAAUAACAGGAGAACACAAGUUCCCCUGACUUUAUGCUUUCCUUAUUUCUUAUUAUUUCUACACCGUAUUUAUUCCCCCUUUUGGUAUCAUAAAAAAAAAGACACAAACAUGUGAAUAUCAUAAAGAAGUCUAGUCGAGGUAACUCAUGCCACAUAUGUGCACACAAAUGUGAUAGAGAAGAGAAACAUAGAAUUGAAGCAAUUAGAUAAUAAAAGAGGAUAGAUUUAAUACUAAUAAAAUUUAAUAUGCCUUUGCUUAAAAAGAAAAAGGCAACAUUGGACUGUUAAAAUGGGAGCAAUAUUGUUUCAUCCCAACCAUGUAAAAAAAAAAAGAAAACAAAGCAUCUACCAAAACCAAAAGAACUUAAAGGACAUUUCUAGAAAUUGGUUAUUGAAGGGCUAGGGGCAAUAGGAGUAGAAGGCUUGGAGAAUGUAGCAUGUGUUUGGAGACAAGGUCUAUUCGGGCAUUGGACGACUUUUGCUCAUUGAGCAGUUGUGCUUUCAGGUUCUCUACUUGCUCAUUGAGAUCAUCAUUCUCUUUUGUCAAACGAGCUACUUCAUCAUUUGACGCUAGAACCCCUUGGGCUUGCUGACCUUCCAGGAUAGCAUUCCUAACAUUCAAUCGACAAAUAUCCUCAAUUUCACUAUUUUGCGAAUUAAUUAGCUGUGAGACAGUUGAUGUAAUUCCUACUCCCCCAUUAUUCUCUAGGCACUCUCAUUCUUCCAAUGUCUUCCGUGAGAAAGUCUGCUUCUUAGUCCCCACCUUGCCUUGCCCCAAUGGCACCUCAAAGAACUUAAACACUUGCGUAAGCAAUAACCCGUAGGGAAGGCCAUGACUACCAUAUUUGAAGGUCGCUACCUUUUACAUGUGUUCAAUCAUAAUAGCAUGCAGGAUUAUAGGAAUAAAGCUAUCCAGUUGCUCCAUCAAGAACAUGUCAGACUUAGAAGUCACUGACGUUCUCUCAGCUCGAGGUAGUAGAACUUUGUGUACCAAUUCGAACAAUAGCUGAUAGACAUGGAGUAACGCCUUCUUGUGGAUUUGGUCCCCCUUUUGGUUUGCAUUGUCUUUUACCACGACAUUUCUGAAUUUAAACUAACACACAUACUUUACACUGGACACAUCAACUGUAGGAAUUAUAAGAAUUUCUCCAAGCAACUUUACAUCGAAUACGAUAUCUAUUCCACGGGAAAGAGGCUAGCAAAAAAGUUUUGUACCUCAUCCUCAUAUGCCUUAGGUGCAUAUAUUUGGAAUUGAUGCACCCAUCUUUCAAACUCAACCAUUUUAAUAAUUUGUCGCAUACCAGCCAUCUUAGAGAUUGCUGGGGUUCAUCUGGUGUUUCAUUUUCCACCUUUACCACAGGGAUUGCCUUAUCACUUACGGGCACACUAUCUUUCACCAGCUUCCUCAUUUGCUUCUUACUACUUUUUCGGCUCUUGUGAAAGGUAGAGUCAUAGGCCACCUUAGCUUGCAACCUAGUAGUAGGUUGGUUGGUGGAAGACUCAGGAGUGGACACAACCCUGCGCUUAACUAUGAACGCAUCGAGAGCCAGGUUAUCUUGAUCCUCCACAUAAUUAGACCGCAUUUCAAGAGCUUGAAUGUCCAGAGGUGCAAUAUUAAAUGCAGGAGCAGAACUGUCAUGGGAAUGAGAACAUUGACCUGGAUCUACUGAACAGGGAUCAGGUUCCUCAUAUGAGAUCUUAGUAGUUUCCACCAGUGCAAUGUCCUCAACUUGCACUAUAGCUCCUUUUUCCCCCACACCCUGUACCUCAUUUUCCUAAGUGAUUAUCUCCUAAAUGACACCAUUAACAGACACCAUGAAGAUGGUUACAAUAUUUUCUUUCACAAUCAACACUACUGCUACCAUGAAAUUUGCAGCAACAAUGGCAGAACCCUUUAUGACUUCAUGACCUUGACUUUGUUCUCCAUUUAUUAUUUGAUUAGUGGUAUCUCAGAAGAUAUAGAUGACAUAUUAGUACUUUUUGUGUUUUAUAAAAUGGAAAGAGACGGAGAGUUUAGGUGAGGUGUGAUUUCAGCACGGAGAGUAGGAGUGGUUAUACAAGACUCAGAAGGGACAAAGGACUCCAUGGGUUUUUCAAUGAUAGGUAUGACUGAGAUAGGGAGGUUUGAGUUUGUAUCAGCCAUGGAAAGAUGGAGUAAAGGUGCUUUUGGAAGUUAUAAUGUAUGACAUAUGAUUUGUGGAGAAUAGAGAGGGGUUUUAUUAAGAAUGGAUAAUUAUGAAGAGAGAGAUAGGGACUGGUUCUGAAACGGAGGUUGGGCGUGGUGAAGUGCAAUAUUUCAGAGGGAGAUGGAAUAAUUUGAGUGAAGAGACUUGACAGCAGAGUCUGAAAAGUUGGAUGACAUGGCAGUUGUGUUUCGUACCUUUUUAAGACGUGUAUUAAAGGAUGCACAGAACUACUAAACUUUGGUAGAAGAACCAGGUUCUUGACAUGUUAUUUGAAAGUAUCAAUCUUCUUUUAUCAUCCAUACAAUAUAUCUACAACUUCUAUACUCAUCAUGCGUUUUUACCUGCAAAGGUAUUGAAAUGAGUUAGAUAUGGGCAGAAAAUAUUUUUAGCUAGUUUGACUGAAGGUGACUCCCCGUCCAAAUGAUGAGGAAUCGUGUUCUCAAUUGGGCUUUAAAAGCCCCAACUUCACUAUGUUUCUUUCAAAAUGUUUCCUACUUAAUGCCUUGGUUAAGAUGCCUGGAAUUUGGUCUUCUGUGCUACAGAACUUCAUGCAUAUCAAUCCUUUCUCUACAUUGUCCCUUAGAAAGUGACGUCUCACAUCAAUAUGCUUGGUUCUUUUGUGUUGAACAGGAUUCUUGGCCAUGUUUAGUGCACUAGUGUUAUCACAUAGAAGGGAAACACUCUUAGUGAGUACCCCAAAAUCCUCUAGUUGCUUUUUAAUUCAUAAAAUUUGAGCACAGCAGGAUGCUGUGGCUAGAUAUUCUGCUUCAGCUGUUGAAAGAUACACUGAGUUUUGCUUCUUUGUGCCCCAAGAGAUGAGACAUGAACCUAGAAAGUGAGCCAUUAUAGAAGUGCUUUUCUUGUCCACAAGAUAACCUGCAUAGUAUAUAUCAUCAUAUCCAAUGAGAUUAAAACUUUCAUAUGAGGGAUAAUAAAGAAACAGGUCAUGUGUUCCUUUAAGAUACCUCAGUAUUCUUUUAGCAUCCUUCAAAUGAGAUUCCUUGAGAUUUGAUUGAAACCUUGCACAUAGCCCACAUUGAAGAUAAUAUCAGGUCUGCUGGCAGUGAGACAGAGAAGCGACCCAAUAAUGCCUCUAUUCAUGGUCUAAUUCACAGGAGGCCUAGUUUUAUCCAUGUCCAGUCGAGUGGCCGUAGCAAUGGGAGUGUCUUUCAUCUUUGAUGCUUCCAUGUCAAACCUCUUCAAGAGCUCUUUGAUUAUUUUUUCUAACAAAAUAAAUGUACCUUUUGGGGACUGUUUUACUAGAAGACCCAAGAAGAAGUUCAGUUCCCCCAUCAUGCUCAUUUCAAACUCAUUUCCCAUGAGUUUUGCAAAUUCUUCACACAGAGAAUCAGCUGAUGUCCCAAAAAUGAUAUCAUCAAAAUAGACUUGAAUAGUGAGCAGUUUCCUUCCCCAUUUUUUAGGAAUAAAGUGUUGUCAAUUUUCCCUCUUUUGAAUCCUUUUUCCAAGAUGAACUUUGGCAGCCUUUCAUACCAAGAUCGAGGAGCUUGCUUCAGCCCAUACAAUGCUUUGUCUAGUUAAACACAUAUUCAGGGUUUUCAUAACAUUCAAACCUUGGAGGUUGCUUCAUGUAGACUUUUUUCUUAAGAACAUUCAGAAAUGCACUUUUGACAUCCAUUUGGAACAAGGUAAAUUCCAUAUGAGAUAAAAAAUGAUUAGAAUUCUAAUAGCUUCCGUGAGCGAUCGGAGCAAAUGUUUCUUCACAGUCAAUCCCUUCCUCCUAAUUGUAGCCUUGAACCAUAGCCUGGAUUUAUUCAUUGUGUAUUUCCAUGUUCAUCAAGCUUGUUUCAUAAUACCACCUGGUUCCCGUAAAGGUUCAAUCUAAGGGUCUGGGUACUAGGUGCCAAACAUUGUUACUUUCAAAGUGAUGUUACUCGUCUUGCAUGACUGCAAUCCAAUCUGCAUAUUUCAAGGCUUCCUUGAUAUUCUUGGGUUCUAUUUGGGAGUGAAAGGCUGACAAUGCAAGCGAAUUUCUAGCUUUUGACUUGGUUUGUACUCCAAAAUCUAGAAGGGUAAUAAUGUUGUUAAGAGGAUGAGAGCUUUUGUUUCUCCAGUUAGAUGUCUGAGGUUCAUUUAGAGAGAACGUGGGUACAUUUGACUGGCUUUCCUGUGUUCUUCUCUCAGGUGCUAGUGGAGCACCCUGAACUACAUCAACCACUCUUUUUCAGCUUCAAUGGUUAUAAUUGAAAUACCUGGUUCCAUUGAAGAUGAGAUAGUAUUGUCUUCACUUAGCUCUUUUACUUGGCUCAUCAUAUCUGCCUUUUCAUUUGUCAUGUCAAUGACUUCACCAGGGACUAGUAAGGGUUUCUUAUCAUGAUCUUCUUUAGCACUCUUCUCACAAGAUGGAUAAGACUCAUAAAAAAUAACAUGAACACUUCCCUUAACACAUUGAGUCCCCUUAUUAUACAUCUUGUAAGCUUUGCUUUGAGAAGAGUAGCCCAUAAAUAUUCCUUCAUCACUCUUGGCGUCGAAUUUACUGGGCUGGUCCUUUCCAUUAUUGAGAACAUAGCAUUUGUACCCAAAUGUUCCUAGGUGAGUCAGAUUGGGUUUCCUUCCAUUUAAAAACUCAUAUGGGGUUUUGUUCAGGAGUGAUCUCAUCAUGCACCUGUUCACCAAGUAGUAGGCAGUGUUGACCACUUCAGCCCAGAAGUUCUUUGCAAUUCCACUAUCGAUUAGCAUUAUUCUUUCCAUCUCUUCCUGAGUUCUAUUCUUCCUUUCUACUACUUUAUUUUUCUUGGGAGUUUUGGAGCUGAGAACUUGUAGGUUAUGCCAUUUUUAUUGCAAAACUCAUCAAAUUUGGCAUUCUCAAAUUUUGUUCCGUUGUAUGAUCUAAUGCAUGCGACUUUAGACUCCAUAUUUACUCGAAUUUUCUUCACAAAAGAUAAAAACACCUCAGGGGUUUCAUCUUUAUUUCUAAGAAACAGAUUCCAUGUGAAUCUGGAUUAGUCAUCCACUAUCACAAAAAUGUAUCUUUUUCCUCUUCUGCUUUGAACUCUCAUAGGAUUACAUAGGCCCAUAUGCAAAAGCUCUAGUGGCUUUGAGGCGCUCACAUCUCUUUUAGACAUAAAAGAGGACUUCACAUGUUUUCCUCUAGCACAGGCAUCACAAACCUUUUGCACCUUGAAUUUUUGAUAUGGGCUGAGCAUGGACCAGGUCCUUCUGAAUUAGUUUGUUUAGAAGAGAAAAUCUUGCAUGGUCCAGUCUUCUGUGCCAUAGUUCAGAAUCAUCAUCAAUAGCUUUGAGACAACUCAAAUCACUACUUUGUAAGGACUCGAAAUCAUCAACAUAGAUGUUGUUGUAUAUUUUGGCCACAAGUACCACUUCACCAGUUGCAGAUCAGUAACUGUACAUAUUUUAGACAUGAAUUCCACCUUGUUUUCCUUUAUCUCAAAUCUGAGAAACACUUAAGAGACUGUACUUAAUGCUAUUAACAUAGUAUACAUUCCUAAUAGAAUGAGUGACUGACUUUUCGACUUUUCCAACUCCAUGAAUGUACCCCUUUUUCCAUUGCCAAAAGAUACACUUCCUCCUUGUCGGGAUUUUAGUGAAAGAAAGUCCAUGGUGUUCCCAGUUAUGUGCUUUGAACACCCACUAUCCAUGAGCGAUAAUUGACCGCUUCCUUUCACCGUUCCCUGCACAAGAACAUCAGGAGUUAGUCUUAGGAACCCAAGCAAGUUUGGGUCCCUUGUAGUAGGCAAGAGGAUGAAUAAGAGCUCUCUUAUUCCAUGCAGGUAAUAUGAACUUUUUGUGAGUGGAACCUGGUCCCUCUUUGGUAGUCACUUUUUCAGCAAACACUUUGUUUUUCUAAACAGAUUGAACCAUGGCCUGGCAAUUUUCCUUGACGUGCCAAUUAUUCCUAUAGUGGGCAUAAAGCUAGUUAUCAGAAACAAUGACGUACUUGAUGUGAGGGUUGUAAGGAGUUUUCUACCUUUGGAACCCUAUUCCCUGCACGUUUCCACAAUUAUUAGUAUGGCAGUGGCAGCUUCUGAGGACCAAGUCAACUUUAGGAACUUUUCAAGAUCAUUCUUUACUCUUGAAAGAUCAAUUUGAAGGUGCUUGUUUUUCUCAGUUUCAAAAGACAUCCUAGUUCUCAUAGCUUUCAACUCAUUUUCAAGCCUAAUAUGUUCCUCACUGGCUAUUCUAUUCCUUUUCUAGAAUUUCCAGGUUUUGACUUAGUUCCCGGUCUCUCUAUUAUUUCUCUUAGGUCUGAAAUUACUGCUAAGAGAUCCUUUUUUUCUUAUCUGAGGUUUACAUUAGUUUCCUUAUGGUCAAUAACUACAGCCACUUAGUUAUUUCUAGUUUGUUCAAAUUCUCCUAGUUCUAAGGUCAAGGAAUCACUAUCCUCCAUAAAACUAUGAUAGGCAUCAAUCAAUACACUAACUAAAGACAUGAGUUUUUUAGGAGAGUAGGAUUUUAGAUUUCUCUGACCAUCCCUGAAAUUUACCUCUUUAUUAUCAUCGUCUAAUUAGGCCAUCAAAGCAAAGGUUGAGUCACAUUCAUUUUCCUCGCCUUCAAUUGCCAUCAUGGAACUAUCACCAGUAUCGGUUUCAUGUUCAGACUCACUAGAGGAAUCCCCUCAUGGUUCAAGAGCCUGUUUCACCAUAUUGUCACCAAAUCUCUUUCUCUUAAAGUCCUUGAAGGUACCGGGUUCCUCUUAGAUGUUUUCUUAGGGUUGUUCUUGGAAACGUCUCACUUCAAGAGAGGCCAGUCUUUCAUAAAGUGUCCAGGUUUUCCACACUUAUGAAAAAAAUCAUAGUUUUUUGGUUUGCUAGAGAUGUCCUUUUUAGCAUUUCUCUAUUUAUUCAGACCAUCUUCUAAAAUCUUUUGGUUAAGUAAGACAUUUCAAUGUCUUCCUCACUUGAGUCACUGUUAUCGGCUUUGAGUACCAGGUUUUUUUCUCUCUUUGGUUCUCUUCUUUCAUUAUCGAUCUUCCUCUUCAUCUCGUAAGUCUUCAUAUUUCCAACCAGCUCUUCUUUGGUUAACUCUUGUUAGUCCUUUGAUUCAGUAAUAGCAUUCAUCUUUCUUUCCCAAGGGCUAGGCAGAAUACUGAGGAUUUUCCUCACUAGCUUUUUUAGGAAUAGUUUCACCAAGUGAGUGUAACUCAUAUAUGAUAGAGGUGAAUCUUGUGUGCAUAUUUUGAAUGGAUUCAUCGUCCUUCAUCCUGAAGAUUUCAUACUCGGUUGUGAGCAUAUCGAUUUUAGACUGUUUUACUUGGUUGGUUCCUUUAUGAGCUGUUUGCAAAGCUUCCUAUAUUUCCUUAGCAGUGUUGCAGGCGGGGAUUCUUUUAUAUUCUUUAGGUCCUAUUCCACAUACCUGAAUCUUCUUGGCACGAAAAUUCUUCUCCACAACUUUCCUGUCUACAUUGGUGUAUUCUUUACUGGUUUUUGCCGUUGACAAUGUAAAUUCUUCCAGCACUUUUGUUGGAACAUAAGGAGCGUCACAUAUGAUAUCCCAUAACUUAGAAUUCUCAGCCAUGAUAAAAUCAUACAUUCUUGUUUUCCACCAUCCAUAGUAUUGUCCAUUAAAGCUGGGUGGUUGGUAUGUAGAUUGUGUUGCGCCCCAUUUUUUCUCGCAAAAUCGGGUUUAUAAAAUUUGGGAGGACAACCCAUUCCUUUUGGGAAUUGGGUUUGAUUUGAAGAGUUGCCACCUAAUGAUUAGGGUGCACUAGGACACCAAGAAAGCUGUGAUUUGAGUAACCGGAGAUUAGGUAAGGGCUUAAAAUUAUUCUAAGGAGAAGGUAUUCGACACCCCUCAAAAUCCACUAGUGUGGUUCCCAGCCAGACUAUUAUAGUGAAUUUAGGUGAAAGUAGCAUGUAGGCAAAUAAAGCUUCAAAUAAUAGGGGAUUUUCACAUAAUGGUUUACAAAUAACAAAGUUGAAAAGAGCUAAAAGAAAGCUGAUUUUUCUUAAAAGAAAGAGUUUGAAAUUUUGAAAUAAACAAAGAAAUAAAGGAAAAUGGGGUCCUAGGUUUAUUAACACUAUGGAUCACCCCCACACAAUGCACGGUAAUUUCUCCUCAAUGAGGGGCUACAUGUGACAUUAUCACGUGGUCAUCAUAUUCAUAUCUACCCCUUCCCACCAUGUUAAGGUAUUAAAGUGCAGAAUGAUCUCGUUUACUUAUUGGAUGCUAUUACCCGUCCUAAUCCUACCAGUCCCGGAGGCAUUUAGGACUAGUAAUCCUAAAAAGGAGAGAUAUUUGGCUUAUUUAUAGUUUCAAAGGUAAAAACUCUAAGGCGACAUACAAAACACAUAAUGCAAGUUAGGGAAAGCACAUAGCAAGCAAAGGCUCAGAUAUACCCCCUUCAACUAAAGAAGCAAGUAAUUAGCAUGUCUUAAACAUACUGUUUAGUGUCUAACUAAAUACUAAACAUGAAAGAGCUUAAAGGUUGGGCACGACUAAUUUAUUACAUAAUUCAAAUAAGAAGCCCAAAUCAGGCAUGCCUGCUUGUUAUAGUUAAUGGAAUAGAUUCAAUUUAUAAUUUACCCUAAGGAUUGU
rnacentral:lncRNA from 1 species